AUUCCAGCUCCAAUAGCGUAUAUUAAAGUUGUUGCAGUUAAAAAGCUCGUAGUUGGACCUGUGCAUGUCCCUAGGUGUCCAUAUUGUUUGGUACGUUCUAGGGCGUGCAUCCUUGGGUGGAACCUGUGUGGCAUUAGGUUGUCGUGCAGGGGAUGCUCAUCGUUUACUGUGAAAAAAUUAGAGUGUUCAAAGCAGGCUUAUGCCGUUGAAUAUAUUAGCAUGGAAUAAUAAGAUAGGACCUUGGUACUAUUUUGUUGGUUUGCGCACCGAGGUAAUGAUUAACAGGGACAGUUGGGGGUAUUCGUAUUCCAUUGUCAGAGGUGAAAUUCUUGGAUUUCUGGAAGACGAACUACUGCGAAAGCAUUUACCAAGGAUGUUUUCAUUAAUCAAGAACGAAAGUUAGGGGAUCGAAGAUGAUUAGAUACCAUCGUAGUCGUCA
rnacentral:rRNA from 1 species